rnacentral:miRNA from 4 species
UCCAGUACCACGUGUCAGGGCCA